rnacentral:snoRNA from 1 species
AGGCAGCCUCUUGUUUCUUAUUCAUUGAUCAUUGAGGUGUUUAUUUGCUCGUAAAUUGAUGUAAAAUGCUUUUGCUCUUCAGAUUUGCUGAGAAUGUGAAAUUCAGUUUUUUCAUUUCAUGAAGUUGGUCUAGUAAAACGAAAGUAUAUU